GAUGAAGAACGCAGUGAAAUGCGAUAAGUAAUGUGAAUUGCAGAAUUCAGUGAAUCAUCGAAUCUUUGAACGCACAUUGCGCCCGUCAGUAUUCUGGCGGGCAUGCCUGUUCGAGCGUCAUUACGCCCCUCAAGUCCCCUGUGGACUUGGUGUUGGGGAUCGGCGAGGCUGGUUUUCCGGCACAGCCGUCCCUUAAAUUAAUUGGCGGUCUCGCCGUGGCCCUCCUCUGCGCAGUAGUAAAACACUCGCAACAGGAGCCCGGCGCGGUCCACUGCCGUAAAACCCCCCAACUUUUUAUAGUUGACCUCGAAUCAGGUAGGACUACCCGCUGAACUUAAGCAUAUCAAUAAGCGGAGGA
rnacentral:misc_RNA from 1 species